rnacentral:rRNA from 1 species
AUUGAACGCUGGCGGCAGGCCUAACACAUGCAAGUCGAACGAGUGGCGGAUGGGUGAGUAAUGUCUGGGAAACUGCCUGAUGGAGGGGGAUAACUACUGGAAACGGUAGCUAAUACCGCAUACCAUCGGAUGUGCCCAGAUGGGAUUAGCUAGUAGGGUGGGUAAAGGCUCACCUAGGCGACGAUCCCUAGCUGGUCUGAGAGGAUGACCAGCCACACUGGAACUUGGACACGGGACAGAGUCCUACAGGAGGCAGCAGUGGGGAAUAUUGCACAAUGGGCGCAAGCCUGAUGCAGCCAUGCCGAGUGUAUGAAGAAGGCCGUCGGGUUGGAAAGUACUUUCAGCGGGGAGGCGUUACCCGCAGAAGAAGCACCGGCUAACUCCAGGCCAGCAGCCGCGGUAAUAC